rnacentral:rRNA from 1 species
GGUAGUCCACCCCGUAAACGUUGGGAACUAGUUGUGGGGACCAUUCCACGGUUUCCGUGACGCAGCUAACGCAUUAAGUUCCCCGCCUGGGGAGUACGGCCGCAAGGCUAAAACUCAAAGGAAUUGACGGGGACCCGCACAAGCGGCGGAGCAUGCGGAUUAAUUCGAUGCAACGCGAAGAACCUUACCAAGGCUUGACAUACACCAGAACGGGCCAGAAAUGGUCAACUCUUUGGACACUGGUGAACAGGUGGUGCAUGGUUGUCGUCAGCUCGUGUCGUGAGAUGUUGGGUUAAGUCCCGCAACGAGCGCAACCCUCGUUCUAUGUUGCCAGCACGUAAUGGUGGGAACUCAUGGGAUACUGCCGGGGUCAACUCGGAGGAAGGUGGGGAUGACGUCAAAUCAUCAUGCCCCUUAUGUCUUGGGCUUCACGCAUGCUACAAUGGCCGGUACAAAGGGCUGCAAUACCGUGAGGUGGAGCGAAUCCCAAAAAGCCGGUCCCAGUUCGGAUUGAGGUCUGCAACUCGACCUCAUGAAGUCGGAGUCGCUAGUAAUCGCAGAUCAGCAACGCUGCGGUGAAUACGUUCCCGGGUCUUGUACACACCGCCCGUCAAGUCAUGAAAGUCGGUAACACCUGAAGCCGGUGGCCCAACCCUUGUGGAGGGAGCCGUCGAAGGUGGGAUCGGUAAUUAGGACUAAGUCGUAACAAGGUAGCCGUACCGGAAGGUGC